rnacentral:rRNA from 1 species
AUACAUCGGAACAUGUCCUGUAGUGGGGGAUAGCCCGGCGAAAGCCGGAUUAAUACCGCAUACGAUCUGAGGAUGAAAGCGGGGGACCUUCGGGCCUCGCGCUAUAGGGUUGGCCGAUGGCUGAUUAGCUAGUUGGUGGGGUAAAGGCCUACCAAGGCGACGAUCAGUAGCUGGUCUGAGAGGACGACCAGCCACACUGGGACUGAGACACGGCCCAGACUCCUACGGGAGGCAGCAGUGGGGAAUUUUGGACAAUGGGCGAAAGCCUGAUNCAGCAAUGCCGCGUGUGUGAAGAAGGCCUUCGGGUUGUAAAGCACUUUUGUCCGGAAAGAAAUCCUUGGUUCUAAUAUAGCCGGGGGAUGACGGUACCGGAAGAAUAAGCACCGGCUAACUACGUGCCAGCAGCCGCGGUAAUACGUAGGGUGCAAGCGUUAAUCGGAAUUACUGGGCGUAAAGCGUGCGCAGGCGGUUUGCUAAGACCGAUGUGAAAUCCCCGGGCUCAACCUGGGAACUGCAUUGGUGACUGGCAGGCUAGAGUAUGGCAGANGGGGGUAGAAUUCCACGUGUAGCAGUGAAAUGCGUANAGAUGUGGAGGAAUACCGAUGGCGAA